CGAAGCGUGCGAUGUGUACUGUGACUGUGCUCUCAGAGUUAUUUGAGCUUAGCCUAGAAUAGGAUCUAGAUCUAAUCCCCGAGUUAGAUCUAAUCCCCGCAUCAGCUUUUACUUUUUAGAUUUAGAAUGAAUAGAUCUUGAUUCUAAUUUGAUCUAGAUGUGUAUAAGUUAGAAGAAAAUUCAGCUUUAGAAACAAAGAAUAGAAUAAAAGCAUGGCGGUCCCUGCAAUAAUUUCACAUCUUUUGCCUGUACUGCAUUAUGAAGUUCAACAUCACUCACUUGGAUGAAAAGACCACACUGCUCAGGAAUGAAAUUGACCACCCUAGGUACCUACAUGUUAAAGUGAUUUCAAGCUUUCGUAUGACUGUUGAGUCCUGGCUUCUGUUGUACCCUGUUGACUUCUGCUAGGGGGGGGGGGCAAUUUAAAUGAAAAUGGAAUGAAAUUAGUUUUUAAGGAUAUAUGAUUUUCAAAUAAUGGAUCAAGCACCUUGCUUUACACUGACAUGUACACACAGUGUGAUUCAGUAUGUACAUUAUUGGAAACUAAGCUCUUCUUGUGCAAGCUAGUUUGAAAGGUGAAAUGAAAUUUAAUAUGAGACCAGGUUAGAUAUCUCUAUCUGCUUUGGAAUAUAUUCAGCUGUACAGAAUUUCACCAGCCUGUUCAGAUCCAAAUUUGAAAAUUUUAAAGACUUUCAAGCAAAUGAAUCUUCACCUUCCUUGUUGAAAGGUAGCAAUGUCUGUGUGUCUGUAACUCUUCUUGACAGCUUGGACAUUGGAUGGCUGACUGUAUGUGCUGGUCAUUGGUUGAAACUAACAAAUUUAAAAUGGCUUAAAAACAGCAAAAA